AACUUUGCACAGUGGCAGUAUCGUAGCCAAUGAGGUUUAUCCGAGGCGCAAUUAUUGCUAAUUGAGAUAGAACUUAUUUUAAAAGGCUAUAAAUUUAUCACUUCAUCUUUCUCCUCCAGGUUACCCAGCUGG
ensembl:snRNA U4 U4 spliceosomal RNA